UACGUAGGGUGCGAGCGUUAAUCGGAAUUACUGGGCGUAAAGCGUGCGCAGGCGGUUUUGUAAGCCAGAUGUGAAAGCCCCGGGCUCAACCUGGGAACUGCAUUUGAGGCUGGAGAGCUCGAGUUCGGGAGAGGAGAGCGGAAUUCCUGGUGUAGCGGUGAAAUGCGCAGAUAUCAGGAAGAACACCAAUGGCGAAGGCAGCUCUCUGGGACGGUACUGACGCUGAGACGCGAAAGCGUGGGGAGCGAACAGG
rnacentral:rRNA from 1 species